UUGGCCAAAAAGUUUGUUUGGGUUUUUCCCUAAGAAGUGACAGAAAAACCUGAAUGAACUUUUUGACCAA
rnacentral:miRNA from 1 species